rnacentral:rRNA from 1 species
CCCGCACAAGCAGUGGAGUAUGUGGUUUAAUUCGAAGCAACGCGAAGAACCUUACCAGGGCUUGACAUCCCUUGAAGCAGCUAGAGAUAGCUGUGUCCUUCGGGACAAGGAGACAGGUGGUGCAUGGUUGUCGUCAGCUCGUGUCGUGAGAUGUUGGGUUAAGUCCCGCAACGAGCGCAACCCUCGACCUUAGUUGCCAGCAUUCAGUUGGGCACUCUAAGGUGACUGCCGGCUAAAAGUCGGAGGAAGUGGGGAUGACGUCAAAUCAUCAUGCCCCUUAUGACCUGGGCUACACACGUGCUACAAUGGGCGGUACAAAGGGUCGCGAACCCGCGAGGGGGAGCCAAUCCCAAAAAGCCGCUCUCAGUUCGGAUUGCAGGCUGCAACUCGCCUGCAUGAAGCCGGAAUCGCUAGUAAUCGCGGAUCAGCAUGCCGCGGUGAAUACGUUCCCGGGCCUU